AUUGAACGCUGGCGGCAGGCCUAACACAUGCAAGUCGAGCGGAGCGGCGGACGGGUGAGUAAUGCCUAGGAAUCUGCCUGGUCGUGGGGGAUAACGUCCGGAAACGGGCGCUAAUACCGCAUACUAUUAGAUUAGCCUAGGUCGGAUUAGCUAGUGGGUGGGGUAAAGGCCUACCAAGGAGACUAUCCGUAACUGGUCUGAGAGGAUGACCAGCCACACUGGAACUGAGACACGGUCCAGACCCCUACGGGAGGCACCAGUGGGGAGUAUUGCACAAUGUGGGCAAGCCGGAUGCAGCCAUUCGGCGUGUAUGAAGAAGGCCUUCGGGUUGUAAAGUCCUUUCAGCGGGGAGGCGUUACCCGCAGAAGAAGCACCGGCUAACUCCGUGCCAGCCGCCGCGGUAAUUC
rnacentral:rRNA from 1 species